rnacentral:lncRNA from 1 species
CAAAUGUGAAUUUUCUAUUGAAACUAACUUAUAGGAAAGGUAACUUAGUUCUCUAGAACCUUAUUCCAAUUGUUGAAUUGAUAGUUCUAUGGCCAAUUUGGACUGACCUGUGAUAGGGUCAAGUACUUUAGUUUAGCCUGACAAUUGGAAGGAGGCAAAAAAGGCAUUAAUAAAAAAACAGGGGAAAAAAACACUUGACUUGCAGCUUGGUCAGUUCAUCAUGCUGAGUUCUAAAAUUUAGAAGUACUGAUGAUACUGAUAGGAAUACAAUAAGCCUCUUGUGCAACCAGGCAUCCUCGAAAUGCCAAGACAUGCCAGAAAGUGCAUUUCUUUAACAUAAAGUCAUUAAAUAUGACAUGAAAUCCUGCCCUAAGGCAGAUAAGGUUUCUUUGUGAAUGCAAUCCACAGAUACAAUAGAACUGCAAGAUGUCAGGU